rnacentral:rRNA from 1 species
UUACUUGGAUAACUGUGGUAAUUCUAGAGCUAAUACAUGCAAAUAGAGCUCCAACCGGAGACGGAAGGAGCGCUUUUAUUAGAUCAAAACCAAUCGGUGGCGGGUUCACGCUCGUCAUCGUACAACUUGGUGACUCUGAAUAACUUUAUGCUGAUCGCACGGUCUAGCACCGGCGACGCAUCUUUCAAAUGUCUGCCUUAUCAACUGUCGAUGGUAGGUUCUGCGCCUACCAUGGUUGUAACGGGUAACGGGGAAUCAGGGUUCGAUUCCGGAGAGGGAGCCUGAGAAACGGCUACCACAUCCAAGGAAGGCAGCAGGCGCGCAAAUUACCCACUCCCGGCACGGGAAGGUAGUGACGAAAAAUAACGAUACGGGACUCAUCCGAGGCCCCGUAAUCGGAAUGAGUACACUCUAAACCCUUUAACGAGGAUCAAUUGGAGGGCAAGUCUGGUGCCAGCAGCCGCGGUAAUUCCAGCUCCAAUAGCGUAUAUUAAAGUUGUUGCGGUUAAAAAGCUCGUAGUCGAAUUUGUGUCUCGCGCCGUCGGUUCAUCGUUCGCGGUGUUAACUGACGUGCCGCGAGACGUCCUGCCGGUGGACUUAGCCUGCAUGCAUUACAUUUCGGUGUAUGUGUGUUUCGGUGAUGUCCAAAUCAAUCCCGCCACGGUGCCUUUAACCGGGUGCCGAGGUAGGCCGGCACGUUUACUUUGAACAAAUUAGAGUGCUUAAAGCAGGCUAAAAUUUUGCCUGAAUACUGUGUGCAUGGAAUAAUGGAAUAGGACCUCGGUUCUAUUUUGUUGGUUUUCGGAACCCCGAGGUAAUGAUUAAUAGG